rnacentral:rRNA from 1 species
UUGAAAGGGAAACGAUUGAAGUCAGUCAUGCUGGUGGGAAUCAACUUAGGGGAAACUCUGGGUGCAUUUCUUCCCUUGCCAGGUCAACGUCGAUUUUGGAUGUCAUAAAAUAAUUGGGGAAGGUAGCUCCUUCGGGAGUGUUAUAGCCCUUGAUAGAUGUGAUGUUUGAGGUCGAGGAUUGCAACGGAUACCCUUUGGGGCUAGCCGCCUGAUCUCUAAUUGGUGUUGGGUUACGGAUAGCAUGCUGACCGUGAUCUAAUUACUGGUUAAAAGGUUAGAGUAUGCAUAAAUUCGUUAAGGAUGUUGACGUA